GGGCGUAUAGUCAGUGGUAGAGCACGUGCCUAGCAUGCAUGAAGUCCUGGGUUUAAUCCCCAAUACCUCUC
rnacentral:tRNA from 1 species